rnacentral:rRNA from 1 species
UGCAGUCGAACGAUGAAGCACCAGCUUGCUGGUGUGGAUUAGUGGCGAACGGGUGAGUAACACGUGAGCAACCUGCCCCGGACUUUGGGAUAAGCGCUGGAAACGGCGUCUAAUACCGAAUAUGCACCAUGAAGGCAUCUUCAAUGGUGGGAAAGAUUUAUCGGUCCGGGAGGGGCUCGCGGCCUAUCAGCUUGUUGGUGAGGUAAUGGCUCACCAAGGCGUCGACGGGUAGCCGGCCUGAGAGGGUGACCGGCCACACUGGGACUGAGACACGGCCCAGACUCCUACGGGAGGCAGCAGUGGGGAAUAUUGCACAAUGGGCGCAAGCCUGAUGCAGCAACGCCGCGUGGGGGAUGACGGCCUUCGGGUUGUAAACCCCUUUUAGUAGGGAAGAAGCCUUCGGGUGACGGUACCUGCAGAAAAAGCGCCGGCUAACUACGUGCCAGCAGCCGCGGUAAUACGUAGGGCGCAAGCGUUAUCCGGAAUUAUUGGGCGUAAAGAGCUCGUAGGCGGCUUGUCGCGUCUGCUGUGAAAACUGGAGGCUCAACUUCCAGCGUGCAGUGGGUACGGGCAGGCUAGAGUGCGGUAGGGGAGAUUGGAAUUCCUGGUGUAGCGGUGGAAUGCGCAGAUAUCAGGAGGAACACCGAUGGCGAAGGCAGAUCUCUGGGCCGUAACUGACGCUGAGGAGCGAAAGAGUGGGGAGCGAACAGGCUUAGAUACCCUGGUAGUCCACUCCGUAAACGUUGGGAACUAGUUGUGGGGGCCUUUCCACGGUCUCCGUGACGCAGCUAACGCAUUAAGU